rnacentral:rRNA from 1 species
GAUGAACGCUGGCGGCGUGCCUAACACAUGCAAGUCGAACGGGGUUCUAUGUCGGAAGUUUUCGGAUGGAAGAGAUAGAACCCAGUGGCGGACGGGUGAGUAACACGUGGGUAACCUGCCUCAUAGAGGGGGAUAACAGAGAGAAAUCACUGCUAAUACCGCAUAAGCACACGGGAUCGCAUGAUCCAGGGUGAAAAGAUUUAUCGCUAUGAGAUGGACUCGCGUCUGAUUAGCUGGUUGGCGGGGUAAAGGCCCACCAAGGCGACGAUCAGUAGCCGAUCUGAGAGGAUGGCCGGCCACAUUGGGACUGAGACACGGCCCAGACUCCUACGGGAGGCAGCAGUGGGGGAUAUUGCACAAUGGAGGGAACUCUGAUGCAGCAACGCCGCGUGAGUGAAGAAGUAUUUCGGUAUGUAAAGCUCUAUCAGCAGGGAAGAUAAUGACAGUACCUGAAUAAGAAGCCCCGGCUAACUACGUGCCAGCAGCCGCGGUAAUACGUAGGGGGCAAGCGUUAUCCGGAUUUACUGGGUGUAAAGGGAGCGUAGACGGCGAAGCAAGUCUGAAGUGAAAAUCCGGGGCUCAACUCCGGAAGUGCUUUGGAAACUGUUUUGAUAGAGUGUCGGAGAGGUAAGUGGAAUUCCUGGUGUAGCGGUGAAAUGCGUAGAUAUCAGGAAGAACACCGGAGGCGAAGGCGGCUUACUGGACGAUAACUGACGUUGAGGCUCGAAAGCGUGGGAAGCAAACAGG